rnacentral:rRNA from 1 species
AAAGUGGAGCAAUCCAUGAGUAGAGUGGCAAACGGGUGAGUAACACGUGGGUGACCUGCCUUCGAGCGGGGGAUAACGUCCCGAAAGGGACGCUAAUACCGCAUAACAUCCUGCCUUUUAAGAGGUGGAGAUCAAAGCCGGGGAUCGCAAGACCUGGCACUUGAAGAGGGGCCCGCGCCUGAUUAGCUAGUUGGUGGGGUAAUGGCUCACCAAGGCAACGAUCAGUAUCCGGCCUGAGAGGGCGGACGGACACACUGGGACUGAGACACGGCCCAGACUCCUACGGGAGGCAGCAGUGGGGAAUUGUUCGCAAUGGGCGCAAGCCUGACGACGCAACGCCGCGUGGAGGAUGAAGACCUUCGGGUCGUAAACUCCUUUCGAUCGAGACGAAUGGUUUCCGGGUGAACAAUCCGGAGAAAUGACGGUACCGAGAGAAGAAGCCCCGGCUAACUCCGUGCCAGCAGCCGCGGUAAUACGGGGGGGGCAAGCGUUGUUCGGAAUUACUGGGCGUAAAGGGCUCGUAGGUGGCCAACUAAGUCAGACGUGAAAUCCCUCAGUUUAACUGGGGAACUGCGUCUGAUACUGGAUGGCUUGAGUUUGGGAGAGGGAUGCGGAAUUCCAGGUGUAGCGGUGAAAUGCGUAGAUAUCUGGAGGAACACCGGUGGCGAAGGCGGCAUCCUGGACCAAUACUGACACUGAGGAGCGAAAGCCAGGGGAGCAAACGGGAUUAGAUACCCCGGUAGUCCUGGCCCUAAACGAUGAAUGCUUGGUGUGGCGGGUAUCGAUCCCUGCCGUGCCGAAGCUAACGCAUUAAGCAU